CCUGGAAACAGAUGCUAAUACCGGAUAACAACAGAUGAUGCCUAUCAACUGUUUAAAAGAUGGUUCUGCUAUCACUCUUGGAUGGACCUGCGGUGCAUUAGCUAGUUGGUAGGGUAACGGCCUACCAAGGCGAUGAUGCAUAGCCGAGUUGAGAGACUGAUCGGCCACAUUGGGACUGAGACACGGCCCAAACUCCUACGGGAGGCAGCAGCA
rnacentral:rRNA from 1 species